rnacentral:rRNA from 1 species
UGGGGAAUAUUGCACAAUGGGCGAAAGCCUGAUGCAGCGACGCCGCGUGAGCGAAGAAGUAUUUCGGUAUGUAAAGCUCUAUCAGCAGGGAAGAAAAUGACGGUACCUGACUAAGAAGCUCCGGCUAAAUACGUGCCAGCAGCCGCGGUAAUACGUAGGUGGCAAGCGUUAUCCGGAUUUAUUGGGCGUAAAGGGAACGCAGGCGGUCUUUUAAGUCUGAUGUGAAAGCCUUCGGCUUAACCGGAGUAGUGCAUUGGAAACUGGGAGACUUGAGUGCAGAAGAGGAGAGUGGAACUCCAUGUGUAGCGGUGAAAUGCGUAGAUAUAUGGAAGAACACCAGUGGCGAAAGCGGCUCUCUGGUCUGUAACUGACGCUGAGGUUCGAAAGCGUGGGUAGCAAACAGGAUUAGAUACCC